rnacentral:tRNA from 1 species
GCCCGGGUGGCGGAAUUGGUAGACGCGCAAGACUAAGGAUCUUGUGGGGGCAACCUCGUGCUGGUUCGACUCCAGUUCCGGGCACCA